CAGCAACGCUGCCUCGCGUGUCUGGGCACAAGAAGAAGAAGAAGAGGAGGAACGACGAGCAAGUCAAGCCUUGCUCAAGCGACGACUGCACCGGCGCGAGGUUCGUCGUCGUUGUGAGAACGUUCGCCCACCCCAGCUGAUCACUGCGAGAUGGCGGGCGAUGAAGACGAUAGCAAGGAGGAGGACGACAAGAGCGACGAGAAGGGCGACGACGAUAAGAAGGACGAGGAUCACAAGGAGGACGAGGAAGAAGAAGACGACGACGCGGGCGGGGACAAGGACGGCGCCCUGGGGAAGAAGAAGAAGCCGCCGGACUCCAUGAUGGUGCAGAGGAAGUCCGUCAGCCGAUCCGGAGCUGCGGGUAUCGCCGCGCAGCAGAUCGCCGAAGGCGCGGACCAGAUGCAAAUGGCGAUGACUGUCGUGGGUCUCGCGGUCUUCGUCAUCAUCAUCCUCAGCGUCGGCGGUUUCGUCUUCUGGAAGGUCUUCUUUUCGUCAAGCGAAUCCGCGGAACAACCGCCGAUCGAGGACGCGGCAACGGAAAAUAGCAGCGGCGGAGUUCCUCCAUUCCACGAAAUGCCGGAAGGAGACUUCUGGGACAGUGAGUGGCGUGCGAUCUUCCGGCACGCCCGCGUGCGCAAGAGCUCUGGGGGUGCUAUUCUGAACCUUCUCACGUUCCGCCACGUAGUCAAACUCGCCAUCUCGUCAGCUAGGAUUGGCCCAGAGCCCUUCUACGGCCUCUAUGAUUGGCUCAGGAUGCCGCCAUUACAGAAUCUGAUGGUGCGGCGCAAUUUUUACCACGAACAGAAUAGCACCCCUGACACAACGGGAGCCAUUUUAAACGAGCAGACACGACAUUUGGUGACCUCGAAACCGCAAAAAAAAAAGGAAAAAAAGAUACUGGGAUGCCUCGGAAUGCCUUUAAUUAGAAAGUUGACCCAUUAAUAGGCUUUCAACAACAACAACAAAAAAAUCCCGCUUCGUUUUCUUUUGACGUCAUGACAAAAAGGGUGGUCACCUGGGGGCAGAACAUUGCGACGUUUUGCCACUUGCUCAAGCUAGCUCGGGCGCCUGCUUUGCCGCAAAUACUCACUUGCGCGGUCCUACACAUUUACAACUUACGUGCUCCGAAUUGCACGGCCUUGUGAUGUUCCCACGGGUCACCCGCUGUGAUGAACCCACGUGUGGCUAUCUUUGUCACGACCGAGAAUGUGCCGGCAUUCUGUGGCAAUCACUCACAGUUGACGUAAUUCUACGAUGUGUUAUUUAGUUAUUACUUUGUGAAGUAUCUUUUUGUUUCUUGCGGCCAUCUUUUUUUUUAUCAGGCUCCGGAACGCCACCGGUCUCCAUCGUGUUCGCAGAGGACGCCGAAAGCGUCGAAGAGAAUGUCCAAGUCGAACCCAGGAACAUAAGCGGCUUAGAAG